GUACAAAAUAUAUUUUAAGCUAGUAUUUGUAUAUUAUUAUUCAAACAAACUUAUAUAAAUAAAAUUAUUCUGUUUAAUAUUCAGUUUAAAUUUUUAUUUUGCUUUUUUAUUGUCCCUUUCAAUAAUUAAUGAUGAUGGUCUGGUAAACCGUAGUCAUUUAUUUCAUUAGUGUGUUACCUUCAGAACUUAAAAUUUAAUUUUCUCUAGCCUAAAGGAAGCUAAUUGAGAAGUUUUCUCAAUUACUGAAAACAAUGGUAACACUACCUUCCUUCUUAAUCCUAAGAGAUGGAUUAUUCAAAGAGCAACCAACAAAAGAUUUGUUUUCAGAAAUUAUAAAGGUUCAGAAAACUAGAGGAAAUGGACAGUCUAAAUUUGACAAGGUUUCAUUGGCAAAAGGAUUAUUCAUCAUACUGCAUCUUUUGCUUCCUGAAUAUAUUCAGUCAUCAGCAUGGUAUCUCACACCUUGAUUUGGAUAGAAUCAGAGAUCCUUUAUCUAUAAGAAUGAACACAAAUUUGAGUUCCUAUCUAUUUUUUCUUUUACGACAAGGACACAGAAUUUAUAGAAAGUUGAUAUAUGGUUAAGUGAAUUGUAUAUUUGAUAACUGGAUAAAUGAUAAUUUUGCAAAAGCAGUUUAUUUUGAUAAGAAAAUUAACUUUUUUGUCAAUUUUAUUAUUAAAAUAAGCUGCUUUUGUAAGCAAUUAAAGAAGAUAAAUUUAAAUAUUGAAUAUUUGU
rnacentral:lncRNA from 1 species